rnacentral:lncRNA from 1 species
ACCCUGUUGCUCAGGCUGGUCUGAAACUCCUGGGCUCAAGUCAUCCACCUGCCUCGGCCUCUCAAAGUGCUGGGAUUACAGGGCCGUGAGCCACUGCGCCCGGCCUGAUGAGCCCAUUCAAUGAAUUUUUUUCACUUACUGUACUUUUCAAUUCCAGAACUCCCAUUUGAUUCAUUUUUGAAAUUUCUAUUUAUUUAUGGAUAUUCUCUAGUUAAGAUAUUGUCAUCAUGCUUUCCUUACUUCUUUAAGCACUAAUUUACUUCUUGGAACACAUUUAUAAUGGCUGCUUUAAAAUCUUCAUUAAGUCUGACAUGUGACCCUUUUGCACGCACGUUCUGUUGCCUGUUCUUUUCCUGUGUAAGUAGGACUAGUUUUCUACUAGUCCACUUCUUUUUUGGCUUUUUGACACACAGUUUUACUCUGUCACCCAGGCUGGAGUUCAGUGGUGAUCACAGCUCACUGCAUCACUGAACUCUUGGAUUCAAAGGAUUCUUUUUUUUGUUUUUGUUUUUGUUUUUGUUUUGAGACGGAGUCUCGCUCUGUUGCCCAGGCUGGAGUGCAGUGGCACGAUCUCGGCUCACUGCAAGCUCCGCCUCCUCCCGAGUAGCUGGGACUGCAGGCGCCCGCCACUGUGCCCGGCUUUUUUUUUUUUUUUUUUUUUUUUUUGGUAUUUUUAGUAGAGAUGGGGUUUCACUGCGUUAGCCAGGAUGGUCCCGAUCUCCUGACCUCGUGAUCCGCCCACCUCGGCCUCCCAAAGUGCUGGGAUUAAAGGCGUGAGCCACCGCGCCCGGCCUCAAAGGAUUCUUUAGCCUUGAACUUCUGAGUAACUGGAACUGCAGGCAUGUAUCACUAUGCCCAGCUAAGUUUCAAAUAUUUUUUGUAGAGACAGUCUUGCCAUCUUGCCUAGACUUGCUUCAGACUCUUGGCCUCAAGUGAUCCUCUUGUCUUGGCCUCCCAAAAUGCUGGGACUACAGGCAUGAGUCACCAUCCACAAAUUCUUUAUUGAAUUUGUGGCUUGUUGACGAUUCUAGGUGCAUGCAGGUGUCUCAGUAUCAGUUCCCUGCUCAGCUGAACCCAAGGCGUCAUCUCCUGUCUCUGCAUGGGCAUGAAAUCUCAAGUUCUAGAUUGCUAAUUCAAUAUGCCCUCAGCCAUCAGAGCAGGUGGAGUGUCAACCAAAAUGUUUAUUGCUUUGGUUUAAGCUUGCCUUUGUUGAAUGUGUGCCUUUAAAAUUUUUUGAUUGUAUAAAUUAUUUAAGUGUUUAAAAAAGUAUAAGGUGUGCUUUUAAGCAAUAUUAUAAACAAGUUCAGGCAGGCAAGAGUAUGUAUUCUCCCAUUAAAUAUUCUUUAAAGCCCAGUGGCUAAAAUAAUUUACUUAACUGGAAAACUAAGCAUAUAACAAGUAAAGGACAACUGAAAUGAAUACUUAUGUAACUGUUAAUGCUAAUAUUCUUCCAUGAGGAAUCAUAGUCUUUAAAAAUAAACCUCAUCAAAAUAAUUCUUAUCUACCUUUAACUUCUCCAUGUCAUUUAGUUACUUCCCACAAUUACCACUUUUUGUUCUACUUAGUAUACAAGUGUUCUUUAAUUUCACUGACCAAUGCCUUAAUUUUAGGGAUAUGCUCAAAGAGAAAGUGUUGAAAAAGUAAACCCCUCUUCAUUUGUCAACUUCAAAAUCAAGCUUAGCAGUCAAGCAAUGGCUGAUGCUCCAAUAAGCCUGUUUUCCAUCUGUCCAGUUUCCAGUUUCUUUGCACCAGAAAAAAAUUGUCAGUUCUCUGACACUGCAAAUUUGUGAAAAUUGGGACGCGCAUGAAAUUUGGUGCCGUGACUCAGAUUGGGGGACCUCCCUUGGGAGAUCCAUCCCCUGUCCUCCUGUUCUUUGCUCCGUGAGAAAGAUCCACCUAUGACCACAGGUCCUCAGACCAACCAGCUCAAGAAACAUCUCACCAAUUUCAAAUCCGAUCUUCUUGGCUUAGCGACUGAAGACUGACGCUGCGGAUCGCCUCGGAAGCCCCCUAGACCAUCACGGACGCCGAGCUUCGGGUAACUCUCACAGUGGAAGAAUAUUUUCAAUCCAUGGAUGUGGAACUCACAGAUGUGGAGGACGGACUAUAGAUACAAACUGGUUAGUGCCUCACAUGCUGAACAGAACGAAUGCAAGAUAACAUAACUUCAUAGUAUGUGAGCUCUUCUCAGAUAGUUUAUUAAAAAGACAUACAUAGAUGCUUUCCUUAAUAUAUUUAACAACCCCAAGGCUAGUCUGUCAAAUAAAAAAAAAAUGAAAAGGACUCACAGUCAUUUGUUUUAUUUCUGAAGUUAAACAAAAAAUAAAAUUCUAAGGUCCACCAACCAUCUGAAUGAACUCCUCCUCUCAGCUACGGGCAUUCCUGAGUUAACCUGAAAAUCCAGUUCAGGUUAUGAUGACAAAGGGGGUUGGACAUGCCUCACUAUACCCUCCAGCAUUAACAUUAACACAGACCUUAAGUCUGAUAAGAAACGUUUGCAAUCUAUUUUCUGUGAAGCCUGCUGGAGGCUUCAUCUGCAUAAUAAAACCUUGGUCUCUACAACCCCUUAUUUUAACCCAGAUAUUCCUUUCUACUGACAAUAACUCUUUCAAACAAAUGUCAGUCAGGAAACAUUUAAAUCUGUCUAUGACCUGGAAGCUCCCCACUAUUGAGUUGUCCUGCCCUUCCAGAUGGAACCAAUGUAAGUAAAUCUUCCAGGUAUUGAUUGAUAUCUCAUGUCUCCCUAAAAUGUAUAAAAGCAGGCUGUACCCUGGCCACCUUGGGCACAUAUUGUUGGGACCUCCUGAGGGUGUCACUGGCGUGUCCUUAACUUUGUCAAAAUAAACUUUCUAAAUUGAUUGAGACCUGUCUCAGGUAUUUGGGGUUGACAAAC